GAUUGCUUGUCAAGUUUCACGUGGAAUAGCAAGCAGUGAGUUUAUAUCUCUAUUUACCUCUUUAUUAAGCAAAUGUAUUAUUUUGUAUAUAUAUAUGUAUAAGCAGCUUUUGAACUGUUUUCGGCAUUGUGGAUUUGAUUUGGAACGUGCUACUCGAUGGGCAUCAUCGGGACUGCGUGCGCACCGGUAAUGAUUAUGGUAUUGAGGUUUAUGAUUUGAGCUUUGGUCGAUCUCCGUUUCUUCAUUUCCGGAGGUUUUUAUUUUAUUUUCAGAAAUAAAGAGUCGAACUGUUUUAAACUCUUAGACCGCAGUAGUAGUAUAGAUUAAUUAUGAUUAGUCUUUUAUUAUAUUUUCAGACUAUUGAUUGUUA